rnacentral:tRNA from 1 species
GCGGGAUUCGUAUAGUGGUAAUAUGGGGCUCUCCAAAAGCUCUGACGUAGGUUCGAUUCCUACAUCCCGUGCAA